rnacentral:rRNA from 1 species
GGUUAAGCGACUAAGCGUACACGGUGGAUGCCCUGGCAGUCAGAGGCGAUGAAGGGCGUGCUAAUCUGCGAUAAGCGCCGGUAAGGUGAUAUGAACCGUUAUAACCGGCGAUACCCGAAUGGGGAAACCCAGUGUGAUUCGUCACACUAUCAUUAACUGAAUCCAUAGGUUAAUGAGGCGAACCGGGGGAACUGAAACAUCUAAGUACCCCGAGGAAAAGAAAUCAACCGAGAUUCCCCCAGUAGCGGCGAGCGAACGGGGAGGAGCCCAGAGCCUGAAUCAGCAUGUGUGUUAGUGGAAGCGUCUGGAAAGGCGCGCGAUACAGGGUGACAGCCCCGUACACAAAAGCGCAUAUGCUGUGAGCUCGAUGAGUAGGGCGGGACACGUGGUAUCCUGUCUGAAUAUGGGGGGACCAUCCUCCAAGGCUAAAUACUCCUGACUGACCGAUAGUGAACCAGUACCGUGAGGGAAAGGCGAA